CUUGACCGACCCCAACCAGAGCGGCUCCCCCGCCCGGUCCCGCCCGUACGUGGCGAGCAGCGCCUGGGCCUC
rnacentral:antisense_RNA from 1 species